rnacentral:lncRNA from 1 species
UAUUUGAAAACAACAUAUUGAAGCUUGAACUCACUUUAUAACUGAAUGUUCUGAAAGCCCUAAAAAAACCUGAACGUUCUGAAAUGACAGUAGAUUACACGAUUCAUGAUAUUUGGCAAAGCAGCAGGCUCACUAUAUCAUUCUAAUCAUUAACCACUCACUAUAUACGUGAGACAAUCUGGCAAUAGAUUAUUUCUACAAACCAAUCAAAUCAACUGCAUUAUUUGAUUCCCAACUUUCCAUGGUCAGUCAACAUAAAUGCGUUCGACACCGAGCACGACAACCUUGCAGCUUACACGCAAAUCUCCCCUGCUGCUGCUGUUGCUGUCACAAAGGCAGUGUGUUAGUCUACAUCAAAACGGCAUGUUAAUCUUGUGCAAAUUCUACCCUUUGGUGCAAUGCUUUAAGAUGCAACUUGUGCUAUUCUACUCUUCCAAGAAAACAAUUGAAAAACGCAACAACUUUCUUGCAAUAAGGUGAUUUUAUACUCUGAAGAAACAGGAACAUAGUUGACACUUGACAUUUUCAAAUUCAGUUUUCUUGCAACAAGGUGAUCUCUUACACGACAAUUUUAAGAACUGGACAUAAAGUGCAGGUAAUAUAGAGCAAAACAGUACCGCCGAGCUACACCAGAUGAAGAAAGAAUGCAAAUAACUAUUUUUCAAAACUGGUCGAUGUUCAGUCAAGCAAGGGUGCAACUGCCUAACAUUGUGAACUGAAAUACAACUAUAUUUCUUUACAGAAGUAGUAGCAAGUAACUACAUCACCAUUAAAGUUAGGUCGGGAACAUACUAAAAUAUAAUUAAGCACUUAAAAGCUGAUUUAUAUUAUUAGCUGUGCCGCAACAAAGAACAAAGGUUGAAAUAAAAUAAAAUUUGCAACCUAAAAGACAAAGAGAUUGUACAGUAAAAAGAACAAGUUUAUGAAGGGAUCCUUGUUAGAAUCACAGAUGCAUGUCCGAAAAUUCAUUUCAUUCAGAGUUUAUUAUGAUUACUUCCCAGAACUAGCAGUCUUGUGUUUUUCUCUCUGUAAAUAAAAAACACAAACACAAACGGUAGACACAAAUUAAGCAAUGGGACUUAGCAGCAAAGAUACCAUAGCAGUAUUCCAUAGAAACUUACAACAGAUGAAAUCCAAUCUACAACAAGAUUCAUUAUCUCCAGAUUUGUAGCAAUAGUUUUAAAGCAUCUAAACGUUUGUAUGAGCCUAACCACUACUUAAGAUACAAAGGCACUAUCCUCUGGAUUUCAAUGCCAACUAGAUAUUAUUUUGCAUCAACAAAGUAAUUAAUAAUUGUAAACUCAUACCCACAACUGCAGAUUUUAGUGAGAACCUUCAACUUCAUGCCCAGUGGCCCCAUCAUCACCAAUCAAACAAGGAGGCCAGGCCAUAAUAUACGGAUAGGCAUAGUCAUCAAAUGUCCCAUUGAUCAGUAACUCAAUCUCCGUGGUCCCCAAUGAAUGGUAGAAUAACCAGCUGCGUUGUGUGCCAGCAGGGGUUAUGCAUGUCAAGUACAAGUACACGCAUCCAGACCUAGCUUGCACAACUCUGAGUUUGCCCUCCGAUUCCCCACUCGUCCGGUCAAUCUCUGCGCUCAAUGAGAGUAUGAGCUGCGGCACCCAAAUCCCAAUUCCAUCACCGUCCACACCACGGAUCCAAGCAUGGAGGUAAAAAUCAUCAGAUGCAUAUAGCAUGCAGAGCUCUCCAUCCUUAGUGUCCCCAACGAUGAAAUCCGCCUGUCCGUAAUCAAUUACCCGCGAGGGUAGAUCCAGAGAGGAGAAAUCCAUGGUGGCUGUGUUUAUCUUAAUCACACUUCUUCCCUCAUAGAAAGGGCAGUAAACGGAGCCAUCCACCAGCGUGUUAGCACCGUACAUUAGGCCAUACUCACGGCCGAUUUCCGCCCAUGGGUGGAUGACCCAAUCCCUCGUCCCCGACGAGAAGACGGCGGCGCGAACCCUAGACACGUCGGCGCAGACGCAGACCACGCCGAACGACCUAGGGUUCUCCUCGGAAGACAGCAAUAGGAAGCUAAGGAAGGCGAAUUCGCUGGUACCCCCGUCCACGACGUCGUCGGGCACCGGGAUGGUGUCCACCUCCCAGGUCAUGGGGUUCACCGCGGCCACGGCCCGGAAGGUGUUCCACAAGAGGAUGUAGCCGUGGCGGCAGUCCGUGACGGUCCAGCCCCUGGGCGCGACGUCGCCCAGCGGGAGGGAGGUGAGGAAGAAGUCGCCGCGGCGGAGGGCGGCGAUGACGUCCGGAUCUGAGCGGCGCAAGGGGGCGAAGGAGGGGGCGGUGCUGUCGUCGACCUCGAGGAAGAUCCCGAGGGGGGGCGCCGGGUGGAGGGCGCGGAAGAGGCGGCGGAAGGGCCGGGAGGAGCGGACGGCGCCGAGCCAGGAGCGGCAGGUGAGCGCGGCGCGGACGAGGGCUGGCAGGCUGGGCAGCCGGAGGAAGAUCUCCAGGAGCUGGUCUUGGCCCAGCGAGGAUAUGGUUGUGGUUCCGUCGCCGGCGGUGGCGAGGGUGGUGGUGGUGGUGGUGGCCGUGGAGGGGAUCGACGGAGGUUUGGCUGCUGGCGCAGCCGCCGCCGGCGGCGGCAGCUCGCUGCUCAUUGCUGGAGAGUGGACUCGAUGGAGAUUCUGGAUCCCUGGCCUUUUUUUUCUUAGCAAAAUCUGGAUCAGUACGAAUGGACUAAACCCAUCUUAGGCUUCAUGGUUUGGGCCCAUGUACGCAGUAGUCCAAGUAGCCCAUGCUUUACAAUUCUCUCUCGAAAAAAAAGCCCAUGAUUUAGAAUUAGACACAGUAAAAAAAAUUGUUAUCUAAAAAAAACAGUAAUUUUUUUGGGGGAGCUCUAUAGGACGCUCUAUGCACGAGAUCACUAGUUCAAGGUUACCCUACAUUUCACCUUCUCUGAUGCUGACACGUGACACAUUGCAUGUGCGCCACUUGUGCAACCAUGGAGUUUUCCUUUUUUUUUUUCAAAAUGGUGUAUCUCUUGAACCGUGCAUCCAAGUAACAAACGUUUUCAUUGUUGAAUUUCUCGCCUCGAGAUCUUCAAAAAUAGAUACCAUGUUAAUAGAUUCCGACGAACUUCUUUGGCGGGAAAAAAUCGGGAACAAAAACCAGAAUUUUAAAAAUAAAAAAUGAUAAAAACCAAACAAAAAACCCCCAAAAAUCCAAAAAAAGAAACUAACAAAAGAAAUCCGAAAGCACGGUCAUGCUUUUUCACCUUUUUUAGGAAGUACAACCGUGGAAGCAUAGCUGAGCUUCUCUUAUGGAAGCAUAGGGUAUACUUCUUGCAACAACACAAUUGUACUUCUUGUCUAAUCAUAAAUGUGUUUCUCGUGGAAAAAUAGGUUGUGCUUCUCACGGAAAUACAUCUGCGCCUUUCCAUUAUCGGAAGCACGGAUGUGAUUCUCAUGGAAGGACAAACUAUGUUUUCCCUUUUCAGGAAGCAUAAUUGUGUUUCUCGCAGAGAAAGCGCUGCCUAACAAAAUAAAUAGAUAAAAUUUAAAAAUUCACCAAAACCUAGAAAAUCCAGUCAAAAAUCAAAAGCAAAAAAAUGAACCCCCCCCCCCCCAAAAAAAAUAAAACCUAGCAGAAACGCGNNNNNNNNNNNNNNNNNNNNNNNNNNNNNNNNNNNNNNNNNNNNNNNNNNNNNNNNNNNNNNNNNNNNNNNNNNNNNNNNNNNNNNNNNNNNNNNNNNNNNNNNNNNNNNNNNNNNNNNNNNNNNNNNNNNNNNNNNNNNNNNNNNNNNNNNNNNNNNNNNNNNNNNNNNNNNNNNNNNNNNNNNNNNNNNNNNNNNNNNNNNNNNNNNNNNNNNNNNNNNNNNNNNNNNNNNNNNNNNNNNNNNNNNNNNNNNNNNNNNNNNNNNNNNNNNNNNNNNNNNNNNNNNNNNNNNNNNGAGCCUCUGUUCGACUUGUGGAGUCAGGCAGAGGGUCUUUGUUGAUUUUUGAAAGGCAAACCACACGUUGGCUCGACCGCGGGGCGAGAAGACGACGUGAUCUGUCGAGUUUGGACACUCGAAGAGGAAGGCGAAGCCCGCCAUGCGGGAUGACCUCAGUUAUUCCUAACUAACUCACCAUUGUUGCAACCGCAAAAACAGUGAGACCCUAACAUGUUAAUCUUCAACCAAUGAGUUGUCACAAUAAUCAAAAUAAGCCGAGAGAGAGUCGGCCCUAACUCAAGGAUGUCAUUUUCCCUUGCUCAAAACUUUGCAAGCAUCUAAAAUAUUUGCUCAUAAUCAAUGCCACUAAAGUUUCAGAUAUUUUUCCCUAUUUAUUUUAAUUUUAUUGUUCAUCAUGGCCGUGCAACAAACGUGAAUGCAGUCACUACUUUUCCAUGUUAUAGGUUCAUGACUUCCUAUAUAGCAUGUGGUGGCUAGAUGAUACCAUGUUAUAUUAUGUGUAGUUUUACUUAGUUGUGAACUAAUGGUUAGAUUAUGUGUAGUUUUACUUAGUUGUGAACUAAUGGUCAGAUUAUGUGUAGUUUUACUUAGUUGUGAACUAACCGUCAGGCUGUGCAUGCUUUACCUUCACUCUUAGACAUCAUCAUGUCACUUGCACCCUUAUUUUGGACACAAUGUAAUAGCAGCUGCUCACAUACAUGCACAUACAAUUAUCCCUAGGAAUGCACGAGCACAUCGGAGAUACCGAGUCGGCACAACAUCUUGAGAUUGACACUGCAUCACAAGAGGUGUCGUAGUCGAAGGGGACAUCUUCUACCACUAAAAAACAUCAUCCUAAAGCCUGAAAAAAUUUGAAAAAAAUGCGAGCACUUGCGCUAAGUCUAGGACUUGAAUCAUGGUGGACUGGUUCAACUACAAGGAACCUAACCGUCUAAACUACACUCAGUUCGCACUUGCACAUGCACCUUAGAACCAUAAGUCAGAUGAUGAUCUAUAAAGCAGUUCUUCUUGAUUAGCACUGCUACAUGAUGACAUGGUAUACAUGUUUUUUAACACAGUACAGACGCAGACGCUCAUACAUACACACAUAUAUUUACGCCUAUGAAUGCACGCAUGAACAUCCUACCCCUAUGGCAUCCCCGGGAGACUAAGCCGACACAUCAUCUUGAGAUUGACGAAUUCAUCACAAACACCUUCAUUGUCGAUGUGAACGUCUCCUCCCACUGAACGCACAUCACCGAAGGCCUGAAAUAAAUUCAGGAAAAUGCAAGUACCAAUGUCAUGUCUAGGACUUGAACUCUGGUGGGUUGAGGAUACCACUGCCAUCAUAACCGUUCAAUGGUUUGUGAUAUGGUAGACAUGUUGAAUGCUCUUUGUUAAGUGAAUCCAUUUUUUUUGUUCCUUACAAGUGCUCAAUUGGUUGACGGUAAAACUAUGCGGCAUAUUUCACCAUUAAGGAGAGGGAGAAUCAUAUAAUAAUCUCGGAUAUAAAAUGAUCUAUAUUUUUAUUUACAAAUAUUCCAAAUUAACCUAGUCUUGAUUGCUUGGAGGUGCUCACCACAUACACCCUGUGGUCCAAAUUAACCUAGUCUAAUAUUCUUAUAUGAACUCAACACGUUAAAAUGUUUCAACUCGUGAAAAUUCAUUCAAACUCCAUUUAUUGGAAUUUUAUGUCAAUGUCAUCUGAUUUGACUAGACUAUUGCAAAUCAUGGUCUCUGAUCAUCCUUUAGCAUGUAUGUUUUAAAUGUCGACCUUAGCGACCUCUUUGUAUUAAUAACAAGAUGAUGUCCCGCGCAAUGCUGCGGGAACCUUGUAAAAAUAUGUAUGGAUAAGUGGUAGAAGACUAAAAUUAAUACAAAAACAAAUAUAAAAGUGUCUUACAUGAGUUAUAAUCCCGCGAAAAAAGUCAUGCGUGAGGUGUAUGCUUUACAUGAAGAGACAAAUGGAAAAAGUAAUUUAGGACUACAUGCAUGAUUUGAUGAUGUGGCGCUGUUGCAUGGAGAGGAAAACUAGAUAGUGGGUCGUUGCUAUUUAAGAAGGACGAGACUUGUCUGCUCCCUCCGCGUGUGCCCAUCCGUGCUCCCGUGUACGUGGCUUGAUUUGAUUGGAACAAAAUAAGGCCCGGCCCCACGCCCUUAAAAUCAGGGGGGAGAUGAUUAUAUUAGAAAGAGAAAAGGAAAAAAGACAGCCGUAGGAUGAAGUGGGAGCACAGAUGGAAGCAUGGGGAGGGAGCAGGCAAGCUGGAUCCAUUUAAGAAUAGAGGGUAUAUCUGCAUUCCAAAUUUUGGUUACUACAAAUAUAUCAUUAAAUACUACUAGUAUAAAUAAAUAUUUGAUAUACAAUUAUAACGCAUCUAAAAAAUAUUCACUAUAUCUUGAAGACGGAAAAUAAAUGCAUCCUCAUCCAUUUGCAUUAACAGGAUUUGAUAGUCUACAAAUUAAUGUUGCACAUAGGAUUCGUCUCAUAUAAAGGAAUAUUAUAAUUACCACUUAUUUGAGUAUACAUUAAGAAUUGCCUUAUUAGGAACAAUAUUCAUAAAAUACCACUAGCUGACUAAGCCUAUAUGUAAUCUUGUACUAGUAUUUUACCGAACGCAAGCCAUCAAUUGAGGAAUCAACCACUGUUCCAUUUUGUUGUUCUUGUGAUCUGCGGUAGCGAGAACAAGUCGAGGGAAACACCAUUCAUGGCACGAGGAACCAUGGUACCCACCCUUCUGGUGCUGCUUCUGGCUAUUUUCUGCGCGAUCACCGUCGUCCACAGCAAGGAAUGGAACGUCGGUCGCCAGGACGGAUGGUUCUUCAGCAUCUCCAAUUGGGGGGACGACAAGCCAAUCAAGGUCGGCGAUGUGCUUGGUGAGAACUCUAAAUCAAGUGAUUAGCUAUUUUUCAAUUCUGAUAUGUAAUCUUGUGUUUAUAACUAAUGCAUGCAGUGUUCAAGUACAAGGCAAUUGCGCACAACGUGGUGCAGGUCUCAGAAGAAGACUACAACGCAUGCACGGUCUCUCGCCCGUCGCCGGCCUACCGCUCCGGCAAUGACCACAUUAAGGUCACCAGCAGUGGCAGAUUCUUCUUCAUAUGUUAUGUGAAAACUCCUUUACACUGUGAGAGUGGCAUGAAGAUAGCCAUCACUGUCCAAUAGAUAGACAUAAUCCCUCUUAUGAUACGUACAUAUGCGUGUCUUUGUAGCAAGUCUUUAAGGUGCGAUCUCAUGACAGAAUGAUGGCAGAAGAAAUAAAUCGAUGCUUGGCUCAAGUCUGAUUCAACAUGUUUCUUUCAAGACUGAUUCAUUAUGUAUUCAUGACACCUUGCUACA